rnacentral:lncRNA from 1 species
GUGUGUGAAUAAGUAUACCCCUGCAGGGUGAAUUAAUCUGUUCGAAUAGCCGCGUCCUCGGAUGUGAACUCCUUCGAAACUUAUGUGGUACAUAGAUAACUUGAAAUUCAUACUCUAAAAUACGCAAGAUAAGUGUGAGUGCUAUGGAUGGCCUUCUCGUAGGGGGGCGAGAGUAAAUCCAUAGUGGUGUAUUGAUUUGGUGAAUAUGUGGAAUCGUGUGCGCUAUCCCACCUCAAAUAAAGUACUUGUAGUCGUAUUACUGGUUAGCCA